rnacentral:snRNA from 1 species
GAUUACCCGCUGAGUUUA